CGGCGUCGAGCGGCGGACGGGUGAGUAAUGCCUAGGAAAUUGCCCUGAUGUGGGGGAUAACCAUUGGAAACGAUGGCUAAUACCGCAUGAUGCCUACGGGCCAAAGAGGGGGACCUUCGGGCCUCUCGCGUCAGGAUAUGCCUAGGUGGGAUUAGCUAGUUGGUGAGGUAAUGGCUCACCAAGGCGACGAUCCCUAGCUGGUCUGAGAGGAUGAUCAGCCACACUGGAACUGAGACACGGUCCAGACUCCUACGGGAGGCAGCAGUGGGGAAUAUUGCACAAUGGGCGCAAGCCUGAUGCAGCCAUGCCGCGUGUGUGAAGAAGGCCUUCGGGUUGUAAAGCACUUUCAGUCGUGAGGAAGGUAGUGUAGUUAAUAGCUGCAUUAUUUGACGUUAGCGACAGAAGAAGCACCGGCUAACUCCGUGCCAGCAGCCGCGGUAAUACGGAGGGUGCGAGCGUUAAUCGGAAUUACUGGGCGUAAAGCGCAUGCAGGUGGUUUGUUAAGUCAGAUGUGAAAGCCCGGGGCUCAACCUCGGAAUAGCAUUUGAAACUGGCAGACUAGAGUACUGUAGAGGGGGGUAGAAUUUCAGGUGUAGCGGUGAAAUGCGUAGAGAUCUGAAGGAAUACCGGUGGCGAAGGCGGCCCCCUNNACAGAUACUGACACUCAGAUGCGAAAGCGUGGGGAGCAAACAGGAUUAGAUACCCU
rnacentral:rRNA from 1 species